rnacentral:rRNA from 1 species
AUUGAACGCUAGCGGGAUGCUUUACACAUGCAAGUCGAACGGCAGCGCGGACUUCGGUUUGGCGGCGAGUGGCGAACGGGUGAGUAAUGUAUCGGAACGUGCCCAGUAUCGGGGGAUAACUACGCGAAAGCGUACCUAAUACCGCACCCGCCCUACGGUGGAAAGCAGGGGAUCGUAAGACCUUGCACUAAUUGAGCGGCCCAUAUCUGAUUCGCUAGUUGGUGAGGUAACGGCUCACCAAGGCGACGAUCCGGAGCUGGUUUGAGAGGACGACCAGCCACACUGGGACUGGGCCACGGCCCAGACUCCUACGGGAGGCAGCAGUGGGGAAGUUUGGACAAUGGGGGCAAUCCUGAUCCAGCCCUCCCGCGUGUGGGAUGAAGGCCUUCGGGUUGUAAAGCACUUUUGGCAGGAAAGAAACGGGGCGGGCUAAUACCCCGUGGAACUGACGGUACCUGCAGAAUAAGCACCGGCUAACUACGUG